AACUCGCUCGCUUAUAUAUUCCCGUCGGCCCCUGCAUUGGCCGGAUGGGACUCGUACAGGUCGUACAGGCCUAGGCUCCAAAUCGCAAGUGCUAAGCAACUGCGCCGAGGGGCCCAAGUGCUACCAACUUCGCUAAGGGCCCAUCGGGUCCCUCACACAUACACUGCGCCAACACUUGCAUCGCUGCGCGCAACUAAUACCCUUUCAGCUCCCAAACACAGCCGCGCUUCACCUGCGGCGUUCUCCUAGGCAUCCGUAAAGUUCUCAGUCGUCUAGGUCCAGCAUUAAGCUUACCACCUUGCACACGCUAACCGGUCACGGGACCGUUGUCAACUUAAACUAUCAUCCACUACAAGUCAACCAUACUAAGCCUGCGCGUCGCUUGCGCUCCUCGCGGCCCUUCGCCGCUCCGACAGCUUAAGGCAGCCAGUCCUAGUCUUGCACCGCAGCCUUGCUCGAUUAGUACUGUAAUAUCUUCUCCACCCGAUUUACUGGCAAGCUCCGGCGGCCCUGCUUGCUCCGCUAUUUUGCUAGAUCCAAAGUCGAUCCACUUGCUCGGUGCUCUCGCUAUCCGCGUCCUGCCGCUACGACCCUCUGGUGCUGCGGCUCAUGCGCUCAUUGUUUAUAUGACUAUGCGCCAAACACGUCCGUGCAAAAUCCGUCCCGUCAACGUGCAGCGGCGCCCCGUGCAAAGCACCCACAGCUGUCGGUCCGCCCCUACUUAAGCCGCGCGCCCCAGUGCGGCCCUAGGGUGCCGCAAACGUUGACUCCACUCUCGCCCUUUCCCGCCCUAAGCCUCCAUCUCCUCUCCUCCCUCCUCGGUCUCUGUCUCUUCCCUCCUCUCCUCAAAUUCCUCGUCGGGCUCGGUAGUGCACAGCCUGCGGACGCCAAUCGCCUCGACCACCCAGUUGCUCACGUAGGCGCGCAUGUCGACACUGCCCUCCACCAGGUGGCGACCGUAGAGGCCGUUGAUCAUGGCGACCAUGGCCGCUUGCAGGACGUCGUGCGCCAGUGCCUCCGAUUUGCACGGGUGGCAGGGCCGGCCCGCGAUCAGGAUGGCCGGCUGAGUGAAGGUGACGCCGGCCACGGCGCAGCUUACCAGGGCCCGUGCUUGGCUGAUGUGGAGGCCCAUGCCGCAGUGGCCGAUCGCCUCAAGGGCCUGAUUGAGAGCCCCGCAGCUCGCGUCCUGCUGUCCUAAAUAGGCUGCUUGGCCUGCCGCCCACUCGAAAUCACCCUCGCUGUCCAUCUGCACCUCCACGCUGUCACCCUCAUCCGUCUCCCCCUGCUCGGAGGCCGGCGGUGGUGGCGGCGGCGGCGGCGGCGGCGGUGGCGGCGGCGGGGAGCUGCUGUUGCUGCUGGUGGAGAUAGAGGACUCCGCCCUCUCCGCCUCCCUCGCCGGCGGCGCCCCCGGCCCCACCAUUCCGCCGCCUACUCCCACUGCUGCGCCUGCGGCGGCUGUGCCCGCCACGACUGCGACCGGCGGUGCGCCGCUCUGCGCCGCCCCUCCGCCCGCCGGGCCCUCCUCCGCUGGCGCCAUGGCGGCCAGCGGCUCUAUGGCCAGCGCCACCUCGCUGCUAGAGUCCUCCUCUGGAAUGUCCGCCAGCAGCCGGCGGGGUGAUAUGUCGCUAAUACCGGCCGCGCCCAGGUCCGACGUCGUGCCCGCCCAAUCAGGGUCGGCGAGCAGCGGCUGCGCCGCCAUCGGUUGGGCUGCCGCUGUGGGCGGCCCCGCCUGGCCGAAGGCGCCGAAGGCAGCAGCCUGCUCCAGCUGGACCACGCGGUGGAACAGCAUUUGCAUCAGCUGGGGGGCCAGAAACGGGUCGAGUGCCGGGAGAAAAGGGCCCGGGACCAUGCCGGCCAUCGGCACGAAGUGUGGCGGCAUGAACGCCGGCGGCGGCGGCAGCUGCUGCCCCAGGUACGGCGGUGGCAGCUGCUGUCCCAGGUACGGCGGCGGCAGCUGCUGCCCCAGGUACGGCGGCGGCAAUGGCGGGCAUGGCGAGACCUGCUGCUGCUCGGCCGGCUGUUGCCGUGGAGAGGAAGGUGGCGGUGGCGGCGGCGGCCGCUGCAUCAGGGGCGGCGGCGGCGGCGGCGGCGGCGGCGGCGGCGGUGGCGGCUGCAUAGGCCCCGGCGGCGGCGACGGUGGUGGCGGUGGCGGUGGAGGCGGAUAGCCCCCCGCCACCGUGUUGGUUGGGCUCAUCCGCUCGCUGGAGGCCGGCGGCGCGGCGAACAGUGCCUGAAUUUUGCCGCGUCCAACCGCGGCACCCAGCGCCACGUUGGGCUGGGCCGGCUGUGGCGGCCCGGUGCGCAGCCGCGCCGGGCCCUGGGAGACCGUGGGCGAGGCCUGCGCGCCGGCGCUGAUCUUGGUCGCUGGGCUGGAGCGAAAGCCGCCAUAGGGCGACGUGAGGCCGCGCUUGCCCCCAAGCGCCAGGAGUGCACGCGCCCGGGGGCCGCCGUGGGCGAUGGCGUACGCCAUCGGGUCGGUGGUUUGCGGGACCGCCUGCUGGGGCGCGGAGCGGUUGAUGGUCGCGGUUAGGCGGAAGACGCCAGGUAGGCCACUCCCUGCUGGUCCCCAAUACACUCGCCCUCGUCUUGCUGCUGAACGCCCUUGACGUGGCCUGCCUCCGCCCGCCGGAGCUCCGGUUGGCCUUCCCUACUAUUGGCGAUUCGCCCUGCUUCUCCCUGGCUCUCGUCCACCCCCCUGGUUGCGCCUCCGCUUUUGCCUUAGCGUCUGGUUCUAUUCUGCCUUCCGCCCUCCCUGAUAGCGCGCUCGAGUCCUCACCUCGCCGUUGGACGCGACACCCAUCGGGGAUGAACCUGGCGAGGCGUGCGUCGCGGCCGUCAGCGCCGCGGCGGGGCCCGCCGCCCCAGGGAAAGCCUGGACCAUCUGCGCCGGUGAAGGAUACUCAGUUGCCAGCGGCCACGGCGGAGAGCCGUGAGGAUUAUCGGUUCCCAUCGCCUGUGCGACAAGUCGUUUGCGAAGUUCUGCUUCUGCGUGCUGCUUUAAGGCGGACCGGAUAUAAUCGCUGUGAACAUGCAUUUUGGAGGACUGAGCCUCCGUCGGUGUAUAUGAGUUGCCAGCGCCAGUUCCCCUCAUGCGACCAACUGCCGGCACCCCUUUACGUCGCCGGUUUCCCUGCUUUCUCGUAUUGCGGGAUUGUGUAGCGCGGUGUUCUCUAUCAGCGUAGUCGGUGGUCGGGUUCGCUGCGCGGUCGGGGUUGCGACUGCGAAGUAAGGCUCACUCGAGCGCCGGGGGGCAAGCCCUUGCGGCCUGCCACGCUUGGGUAAACGGUAGAAGCCCUUGUUUCCUACUUGGUUGGGUGGUCAAUUCCGGGGACCUGGGUAGCCUUGGAGCCCAACGGUGAUCUGUUCCUGUUCGCUGCGGGUCCCGUUGCCGCUGUCAAUAAGACCAUAUUCUAUCCUAAAUUCUGCGGGUGGACCUCUGUGGAGGGUGGCCCGCUGUCUCCCGGGCACGCGUCCUAACACGCGUGCCAUAGCGAAUGGCCUAGCGGGCCGGCACCAUGGUGCCGCGCGGCACCAGGAGCUGGGCGACUGGGAUAGUGAACCGGGUUGACUGGUCAUCCUCCACUAGCGCCAUAGUGCCGGUUCGGUUCCACAACAGCCACCUAUACGGUCCCUCCCGGGUUGACUGAAGCUUGCUGCGAGACGGGCGCUGGCGGUACACCAGCGUGCCUUUCUCUAGGCACGGCAGGUGCAUGAGUGCGGGGUCGUCUUCGGGGGCUGAGUCGUGACUGUUGGUGGGGAGCGCGGGUUUUGGCGCAGCUGGCUGCUGGGUUGUGGUGCGAUCGCCUCGCCCCCUACUUCCCGCGCCGCGUCCGCGCCCCCGCCCCCUGCCGCCGGGAGCUGCUGAACCCGCGCCGCCCCUACUUAAGACUGCUGAGGGGGGUGGUGAUGGCGUUUUGGUAUUGUCACUGUCAGAGCCACUUGCCCUGCGCGUCGUGGCUGCGGUGGCCGGCUGCCCCUGAGCCUGCCCAUCCGCCGGCGUGUCGUCCGGGCUACCGUAGGCGCCCUCCCCACCCGGACGAGGCUUUGGCAUCACAUUAACGUGCGUGCGGCGGGCGUGGUCACGCACCAUUCGGGUUUGGGCCUUCUCCAUGUUGCCUCGAGCCCCAUCAGCCGCUGCGUCUAGCAGCUCCUUCCUAACCCCAGCGGCCUGUCGCCGCUCGUCGGCCACCGCCUCCGCCCCUUCUCCCUCUGAGUCCCAUUCCUCACCGGGGUCGGCCGUCUGCUGUGCCAGUGGUGGCUUCUGCUGCGCCAGCGCCAGCUCUUUGCCGUACAGCAGCAGAGCCGGCGAGCAGCCCGUUGAGCGCUGCCGCGCAGCCCGGUACGACAGGGCGACCUGGUGAAUGUAGAGGUCCCAGUUUGCCUCCACUCCCUCCUGGCACAGCCGCACCAGCGAGGAGCGCAUGAUGCCCAUAAAGCGCUCCACCUGGCCGUUCUGCGCUGGGCAACGAGGGCCUGACUUCACGUGGCGCACUCGUUCCCGAGCCAGCAGGGAGGCGAACUCGCCCUGCCACUCGGUGCCCUGAUCCGUCAUCACCACCGCCACCGAACCCCAGUGGCACAGCACGCUCUCCCAGAGCCAGCGUGCGGUGGUGGCGCUCUCCUUGUUGGGCAGGGCACCCACCACCGGGUAUUUGCUGAACGCAUCGAUGGCCACGGCGAUGUACCGGUUGCCGCGGGGCGUGAGUGCGUGCGGGCCACUGAGGUCAACGUUGAUGCGGUGAAACACUUGCACGAUGGGUAGCGGGUGCAGGGGCUGGUGUCGCACAAGCACGUGCUGCGUGGGGUGGCACUGGCGGCAGUGCUCGACAAACACCCGGCAAUCGUGCCCCAUUCCCUUCCACCAGAAGCGGGAGCGGCACAGGUCGAAGGUAGCCCGCACGCCGGGGUGCGCCAGGUUGUGCACCUCGGCCAGGGCCGCCUGCCGCUCGCUAUGCCGCAGGAUACGCACCUCGGGCCGGUUGCGGGUGGCACGCUUGUACAGCUGCCCAUUCUCCCAUCGGUACCGCCGCGCCUUGCGUGAAAUGCGCGCACACUCCUUGUAGAAAUCUGUGCCGGAGAGGUCGGGGCGAGCGACGAAACUCCGGUACUGCAGGUAAUGCAGCAGCCCGGCGUCGUGCCACACAUCGGCCUCGCCCGCGCUGUAGUUCGGCACUCCGUUCACGGCUAGCACGUCUUCUGACACCUCCCCUUCGCCCUCCGUCGCUGUGCCAUCCUCCUGCUCCCACUCCUCCUCAUCCUCGCUGGAAUCCCCUUCGCCCACGUAUGCCCUCACCAGCUCGUCGGUGGGGAAGUUGGUAAAGCCGCUUGGCGCGGCCGUCGCCGUUAGGGCUGUCGCCAUGGCGGUUGGCAUGUUGGUUGCGGCCAGAGAGGCCGUAGCCGCCGCCCUUGCGACUGCUUCCUGAUGGCCGGGACCUGCGGUUGUGGCGGCGGGAAUGGCGGCCACGGGUGGCGUGGUGAGAGCAGGCGCGCCCACGGGGCCCGGGUUGGGGGCGCCGCUGGGCAGGUUGAGACGCCUGACAACCCGCACAAGCCGGCGGUUAGCUGGGGCUGGGGCUGCGUCCCCCGCGCCCCCACUUAUGCCUCCUGUGCCGGUGCCGGCCGCCACCCCCAGGUCGUCCCCGUGUUGCUUCCCCGCGUUCGGGUUGCCCCCAGUAGCGUGCUCGGGGCAGAGCCAGUUGCCCUCCGGCACACGGCGCAGCGGUGGUCGCAGGCAGGUGGUGUGGUAUGCGCUGCUACAGCCCGGGAAGUCGCACAGCAGCAUGUUCCACUCUGGCUUACCCUGCUGACAUCGAGCGCAUUUGGGGCUCUCGCCCUCCUCCGAUUCACCCUGCUCGGUGUAGUCCUGAAGGUGCGCAGGUGGCUGCGGCAGCCGCCGCCGGCGCAGAGGCUCCCCGGACGGACUGCGUAGGGAGGUGGUCUGCGGCGCCGGUUGGGGCGGGGCGUUGCGGCUACGCUUGCCGGGGCUCAGGGGGUUGGGGGAGCGACACAUCGCCAGCAGCCGCUGUAAGGGUGAGGCAGGGUGGCCAGCUUGGGGCUCAGCCCUGGGCGGGGCCGACCCUGCUGCCGCUGGGCUGCCAGGCCCGGCCCCCUCACCCCCUGGAACCUCUGCCGCUCCAUCCUCACGAGCGGUGGACGGGCCGGCUGCGGCGCGGUCCGCUUCCGCCGCCGGCUGCGAGGGCCCUGCCCGCCCGGCUGCUUUCUGCUCGCCCACCUGCCCUGACGUCGCCCGCCGCAUGAAGAUGCGCACCUCCCGGUGGCUUCGGGCGGCAGGCAGUGACCACACCUGCUCGAAUUCCUGGGACAGAGAGCGUCCAGCCAGGAAAGUGGACAUACGCCCGUUAGGCUGACGGUGCGCGGUGGCGACAUAGCCCGCAAGGGGGCCCGGUGAGGCGGAGCUAGUCAGCAGCUCGGUGCUGAGCCCCUGGUCGCCACCAGACCCCUCCACGUCGUCUGUGUCCUCCCUGCCCCCGUCCUCUGCCAGGUGCCCCAGCCGGCUCAGCCCGUCCACGUUUCCGUGUUUCGUUCCAGGUCGGUGCACAAUCUCCAUGUCAUAGCCCUGCAGCCGUAAAGCGUAUCGGGCCAGCUUGCCUGUCAGGUCCUUGGCCCGCAUGAUGUAUGUGAGCGCCGUGUUGUCCGUGAUCAGCUGAAAGCGUGCUGACGCCAGGUACUCGUGGUACUUCUUCACUGCCCACACAGCGGCAUAAGCCUCGCCGUCCGUGCUGGACCAGCGUGUUUCUGCUCCAGUAAGCCGCUUACUGGCGUAGGAGACUGCAUACUCCCGGCUGUCGUCGUCCAGCUGCGACAGGCACGCGCCCACGGCGUUGCAGCUGAAGUCGGUGGCCAACCGGAAGGGGCGGGUGACAUCGGCGGCACGCAGUACGGGCUCAGUCGUAAGGGCAGUCUUCAAUUGCUCAAACGCUGCCUGCUGCUCAGGCCCCCACUGGUAACCGAGCUUGCCUAAGCAGUCGUAUAGCGGUCGGCUUAUAAGCGCGAAGUUGGGUACCAUUGACCGGUAAUAGUUCGCGAGACCAAGGAAGGCCUUGAUCUGGCGCACGGUCUUUAGCUUUGGGUAAUUGCGAAUUGCCUCGGCAUUGCGGGGGGCCAGGGUGUACUGGCCCGUCGCGCCCGAAAUGGCAUGGCCCAGGAACUCAAUCUCUGUUGUCGCAAAGUGGCACUUCUUGAUAGACAUCUUCAGGUUAGCCAGGCGCAGGCAGUCGAACAUAUUCUGCAGGUCCUCCGCGUGCUGGACUGGGUCCUUGCUCGCGACGCAGAUAUCGUCGAUGAACAGCGCGCAGCACUUGCCUGGUGUGCUCUCUCCAGGGCCGUAGAAGAGGAUAGGGCGCAGGACCAGACUCAGAAGGCGCUGGAAAAGCGCCGGGGACUGCCUGGCUCCCAUCGGAAGCACCGUAAACUCGUAGAGCCCAGAGGGCGCCUGGAAAGCAAGCUUGCAUCGGUCUUCUUGGCGGACAGGCACCUGCCAGAAGCCGGCGAUGAGGUCGACGGUGGAGUAAAUCCGCUUUUCGCCCAUCGGCGGUGCCACCGUGUCUAUCAUAGUUUGGACGUGGGGCAUGGGAAAGCGAAGGGGUUUGGUCAAGUCGUUCACAGCGCGGAGGUCGAUGCAGGCGCGCCACUGGGGUGGGACCGGGGGCGCGUCCGCGGCGCCUCCGCCGGCCUUGUCGCUGCCUGCCGGCCGCUUCUUCACCAUCACCAUGGGGGAACACCAUUCCGACGAGCUGGGUUGGAUAACCCCAGAGGCCAGCAUCUUCUGCACCUCUGCCUCCAGCGCGUCCCGCUCGCCCUUGCUAAGCCGGUAUGGGUUGGUGCACACUGGUGCCGCAUCCCCGGUGUCGAUACUCGCUUCCAGCCAGCUGGUGACGGACAGGUCCUGGUUGGAUGCUGCAAAUACGUCGUAAUUGUCCAAGAGCACCUUCGCCAGAGCGGUUGAGUGCUCCGGAGUCAGGUCCGGGCUGAGGGUUGCGAGUAGCAGUUGCCGCCGCUCGUCGUCAGCCGGAAGCUCUCCCUGUGUGUCCCUCACGCGCUGGCCAUAUUCCCGAGCGGCCAGCAGGUGCUGGGUUGGGGACAAGCGCAACACCUCCUCCUUGGUGGGCCGCUGUAGCAGCACGUCGGCCAACGUGGGGAGGGACGUGCGUGGGGUUUGGGGCGUGCCUGACGCAUAGUAGAUGGGCGUACGUGGGGCCGCCCACGACUGGCUGCGGGGACUGCAGCAAUCGUCAUCCUCCCAUGAGGCAUCCAGUUUUGCCCCGGACGGUGCAGGGGAGGCGAAGUGAGCGCUGGUGACUGGGGAGGGCGGCCCGCUCCCUGAAUCUGAAUCCAGCAGAGGGGCCUCGUAGCCCGCGGAUAAGGUGCUGCCGCUAGCCACGUCAGACAGGAAGCCGUCUUGCCGGCCUAGGGCCACGCAGACGCGGGAGUGGCCCGGCUCGUGUGGGUUUUGGCCCCUAUAGGCCGAGUAGCUGACGAGGAAGCGGGGGUAGUGAGAGGCCCGCCGGGGGAAGGCUGGCUCCUCGCCCCUGCUUUCCUCGUCGCUGCCGGAGUCGCUGGCGUCCAUAAGUGAUGGAGGCCCAUCAGAUUCGGUGUCAGACACAUAAUCCGCAUGGAAGGUUGGUGCGCUCGCAUCGUCGGGUGUCGAGUCGCCUGGCAUGCUCAGUGGAUCCAGGGGCGGGAGAAAGGGGUCUUCGCAGUCAUCCCAUGUUACCCCGCUCUCCUGGCCCUGGCGGGUUAGAAAAGCCCGGGAAGGGGGAGCCGCCCCUCCUGCGUCCCCCUCAGGGUCAUAGCCACAAGCCGGAGGAGGCUUGCAGGGAUCGUUGGGGCGGGUAGCCCCCUCCUCAUCUUCUUCAGUAGCCCCCUCCUCCUCCUUGGUGUUGGCCGAGGGGUUCGGAUCCAGCUCAGUAGUUACCGUGCUGCUUACGGAGCGCGGCGAUGGGCCCAAUGGCAGAUCCUCCCACCACGUGUCAUCGGUGUGGGAAUCGGUGCUGCUCUCGCGCGCCAGCUCGCGGGCCCCGGCUAGGAAUGCCGCGGCCUGCAACACCUGCAGCUCUCGUGACGCCGUCCAGUGUAGGAUGCGAGCCACUCUUGCCACCUUCUCGGGUGAGCCCUGCCCAGCCGCCAAUUCCGUUAGCAGUCGCUGAGCCUCCUCAGGCCCGUCCGGUGAACCUACUGGGUCACCUGGCGGGUACUGCAAAGGGUUGGCCUGCUCGGUCAGGGGCCCAGCAUUGGUACCGCCGCUGGGGUUGGGAGCCCUGCGGUCUGGGCUGCGAGGUUGGGACAGGGGCAGGGGAGCCCGGCCAUCCUGGAUGUCUUGCCACCGUUGCUCGUCGAUGGACGUGUCUUCCAUGGGCCGCCCAGCUACCAGGGCGUCCAGUUCAGCCUCCAUGUCCAAGGGCCAGUCUUCACGAGGGUGACUGCUGAGGCUGGAUGCCCUGGGGGACCCGUUAUCCAUGGUGUCCAGUACUCGGUGCAUGCAGACACGCCGCGCCCCAGCGGAGCGGGCGGUCUCCGCCGUGGGUGAUGCGUGCGACAGCAUGCUGUCUAGGAUGCCGGCCAGCUCCAGGGUCUCCGCGCCUGUCAGCGGCGGGGGUACUGGAGGCAGUACCGGGGACGGACCGGGCACCACAUAUCCUGGCACUUGGCAAAGCGCAAACGGCGAGGGGCGAGGCCUCGAGGCGCUCCGUGUUGCCGGGGCUGGGGGGGCCGGAGCGGCAGCCUCCUCGCCCUCGCUUGGGGGGUCGCUGACCACUCGCGCCCGCCGCCCCACCAUGCAUGCCAUGGGGGUCGGAGGAAAGUGGUAGCGGAUGGGAAGGGCACUGCGCCUCCCUAGGUCGUUGGUGUAUUCCAACAUCUUCUUGCGGUAGCUGAUGUCAGCCUUGAUGGGUGCCAGGAAGUCAGACCCUAGCAGGAUGACAUAGCUGGUGGCGUCGCUCACGUACGCGUCCACCGUGCUAACCAUGUCACCCGUGGCGAUCACCAGGUUGCGCACCAGUCCACCGGACUCAGACCUCACCCCAUCAGCGUUGGUGAAGGUCUGCUCGGCGGGCUCGAUAUCCUCCACUCGGCCCAGGCGCCGUAGUGUCACCCGUGGAAUCACGGUGUUGCUAGCACCGGUGUCCACGACUGCUCGGGCACGGAUGAACUUGCCAUCGGCCUUGCCCAGGAGCACCUCGGCCUCUACCACGUCCCACUCGCCUCCAGAUACCACCGGGGUCAGGGUCGCUGCCGUAGCCCGGUGGGCGUGAGCAGCGGGGUGGCCCGGGGGCCCCGGGGCGGUUGCUUUGGGGCUCCGGGUAGUAGGAGCGGCAGCCGGGGCGCGGGUUGGGGGUCGGGUUGGUGGUGCGGCAGCAACGGGUGUCGGCAGUUCCCGGGAGUGCUGUCGCCCCAGACCGAUCAGCCGUCCACCAAUCUUGGUGUAGAUGUUUGCGGGGUUGACUCGCAGCGCCCGUGACAAGGGGAUGGGGUAUGCGUUGAUCUUGGCGCAGAUCUCAUCGGCCACUCGCUUCUCCUCUUCUCCUGCAUCGCCCGUCGGAAUAGGGUCCGUGCGGGGAGGACGGGCUGCAGGGGCGGCGGGAUCAGCCGCGGGGCUGCGAGCCCUGGUUGGAGCGUGGGCGGGGGUUGUGGCCUGUGUCCGGCCCCGCCCGGGGGUAGGCCGCCGUCCCGUAGGGCGGGCUUCCAACCCAGCUGGGGCACGGGGGCCUUGCCCGUCGCCUGCAGCCGGCGCAGCGGCCGAGCUGGCAGGGGCGGCAGCGGCCGGCCGCUGCUCACGCUCCCGGCGUUGGUCAGCGUGGCCCGCGGUGAAGCGGCGAGGGGCUAGGCGGUCCACCUCCAUGGGCUCGGGCCCGGGGAUGGGGACUGGCACCCUCUUGCGAGGCAGGGUGAUGGGUUCGAAGUCGCCCACUCGUUUGGUGUAAGCCUCAGCAUUAGUGUAGUAGGAGACGGGAGCGGUGGUUGAGCCUUGCGGUGACAUGACACCGCCGCUGUCCUCGCUCUCGUAGCCCAGGGCGUAAGCGUCCCUGUAUGGGCUGUAGAGCGGGCGGGCCGCCUGGAACAGCAGGGUGCGGCUGGGGGUGCGGCGGUGCAGCAGCUGCAUGCGUGACAUGCGGGUGCUGAGGUCUUCAACCCCGCCGCCCCCACGCCCGGCACUGCUGUUGUUAGGCCCUCGGUUGGCCAUGCGUGGGCCUUGGUCCGACCGGGUAUCCCGGCUGUCUCGGCGGUCAUCCCGCCCAAAGGGCCGGCUGUAGCGGGGAGGAGCGGUGCUAGAGCCAUUGCUGUGGCGUGGCUCGUUGCUGGGCGAGCGAUCAGCAAAGCGCACUCGCCGCUCCUCGCUGUCAGAUCGGCCGCGUGUGUCCCGGCCGUCGGCCUUGGACAGCUUGCCCUUCUCGCUGGCGUAGAUCGCCUUGCGGAUGGCAGCAGUUAGGUUGUGCGGCUCCAUGUCGUACACGGAGUCGUAGAUGUCGGGAUGCAAGCCCCGCAUGAAGUUGUGCAUGUGGGUAGGGUCACGGUUAUAGUCGAGGCGCAGUUGGGUCACGAGGCCCAGGUAACGGUCGGCGUACUCGCGCACCGUCUCCUUGGGGCCUUGUGUGCAGUUGGCGAGGGCCAGAUGCAGCUCGCGGUCUGACACACCCCAGCGCUCGCGCAGGGCGUCACAGAAGCCCUCCCAAGUGGACGAUGCCAUGGGGUUGGCUAGCUUCCAUGACCGGUACCACUCCUUGGCCGUGGGGCCAAGCCGUUUAGAGGCAAGUUGGAGCUUUCGUGACUCAGUCCAACCGAAUUCCUCUGCCAACUCAUCUACGGACUCCAGCCAAUCACGCACAGAAUGCCACUGCGGGUCGAAGCGCUCGCAGUGUUGGGUGAUACGUUCAUAGUCAAGUCCUUGCAGAUCGGUAUGGAAAGCGCUAGGCCGCGCUCGGCGGGGAAAGCCAUCUUCGUCUGACAUGAGUGGCUACUGGGGGAUGGAAGAAGUCCCGGUAGCGAAACCAACAAAGGCGUGCCGACCCCCCAGAGAUGACAGGACACUUUUUUCGCCUAACUUUAUCGCCGCGUGUCAACAGCUGUCGGGGCAGAUCGCGUGCCGUAGAGGGGGCUCUUCGAUCCCAGCAGUGCCCAGCGCCGCCGUAUGGGGACGUCGGUAGCUGUUUUACUCACGGGAGGGGCUUCGCUGUUUGGUCUAGGCGGGUUGGAUAACAGGAGCAGGGGCUCGUACAGAGCCGGAUGGGUGGCGUGCGUGCAGGUGCACAGCCGUGGCAAAGGCUGUCUCACUCAACCUUGCCGCCCAGGGUAAUCAGAGAUUAGAGAGAUAAGGUCGGGCGGGUUGCCCAAGUAGAGUCACCGCCGCCGGCGGUAGCUGGGGUUACCCUUCGCGUGCGGGGCACGCGGCGGGUGGUAGAGACGGGAAGGGAGAAGAGAGGGGAGACAGGAAAGCAAGCAGGUCCCGCAAGCCGGCACGGCGUGUCGGGGACUUGGUCACACGCAGGUCAGGUAGACCAGGUGCAGGGAUAAGCAAAACUUCUUCAGACCAGAGGUGUCGCAGUCGACCUGCACUCUGGGGCAGGGGAGGCGAACACCCCAAGGGAAAGGGGGGGGAGAGCCCCCGACGACCCAACCCGCAGACAAGGCGUGCGUGCCCGGUCCAAUGCCGUCCGCCCCACUGCCUAGGCCCAGGCCCUGUACUAUCUCACGCUAUCUUACGCCCGUCUCUGUCUCCCUCACUCCCUGCUACUGCCACUAACCGAACGGGCUCAGGCCCAACUACCGAACCGGACCCUGCUCUGGCUCGCUCCCAGCUCGCCCUGCUAUCAGCUGCUGUACCUAAUCGCUGCCAGACACUACACGUAUGCAACCUGGCGCAGAGGCUCUGCUGGCGUACGCUAUGCGGGUUGGGGUACUCUUGACCCUAGUGUGGGCAGGGGCCUUGGCUAUCACUGACGGGCUGCGGGUAACGGCUCAGGACUUACGGGGAUAGGUCGGGGGCAACAGGCACAGCGGUGUGGGGUAGGGGAGAGAUAGGGAGAGGGGAGAGUCUGGGGCUCGGAUGAACCGGAGUAGGUGAGAGAUAGUAAGGGGAGGGGGAAGGGGGCUUCGAACGGGUACUUGGUUGUGCCGGGAGGCACCCUGUGGGGGAGGGGAAAGGCUAGCCUAGACUUGCGCGAGCGGGCGACUUCGCGCCGAGCACAAGGGGCCGCGAUACAAGGGAUCGUUCUUUGUCCAACUUGUAUUACAAUACUAGAGACUCGUAAUUAAAGAGUCUAUUUAAGAGUGACUCUCGAGUAGUUGGUGUGAGGAGUUGGGAGGAGGAGAGUGACUGAACUACCCCAACUCGCUCGCUUAUAUAUUCCCGUCGGCCCCUGCAUUGGCCGGAUGGGACUCGUACAGGUCGUACAGGCCUAGGCUCCAAAUCGCAAGUGCUAAGCAACUGCGCCGAGGGGCCCAAGUGCUACCAACUUCGCUAAGGGCCCAUCGGGUCCCUCACACAUACACUGCGCCAACACUUGCAUCGCUGCGCGCAACUAAUACCCUUUCAGCUCCCAAACACAGCCGCGCUUCACCUGCGGCGUUCUCCUAGGCAUCCGUAAAGUUCUCAGUCGUCUAGGUCCAGCAUUAAGCUUACCACCUUGCACACGCUAACCGGUCACGGGACCGUUGUCAACUUAAACUAUCAUCCACUACAAGUCAACCAUACUAAGCCUGCGCGUCGCUUGCGCUCCUCGCGGCCCUUCGCCGCUCCGACAGCUUAAGGCAGCCAGUCCUAGUCUUGCACCGCAGCCUUGCUCGAUUAGUACUGUAAUAUCUUCUCCACCCGAUUUACUGGCAAGCUCCGGCGGCCCUGCUUGCUCCGCUAUUUUGCUAGAUCCAAAGUCGAUCCACUUGCUCGGUGCUCUCGCUAUCCGCGUCCUGCCGCUACGACCCUCUGGUGCUGCGGCUCAUGCGCUCAUUGUUUAUAUGACUAUGCGCCAAACACGUCCGUGCAAAAUCCGUCCCGUCAACGUGCAGCGGCGCCCCGUGCAAAGCACCCACAGG
rnacentral:lncRNA from 1 species